GGGCGUGUGGCGCAGUUGGUAGCGCGCUUCCUUAGCAUGGAAGAGGUCUUGGGUUCAAUUCCCAACUCGUCCA
rfam:Candida arabinofermentans NRRL YB-2248 unplaced genomic scaffold CANARscaffold_18, whole genome shotgun sequence.